rnacentral:piRNA from 1 species
GUUGUUCCUGUAGGGCCGCAUAGU